ensembl:rRNA 5S_rRNA 5S ribosomal RNA
ACCUACGACCAUAUGACCCUGAAUGCGCCCGAUCUCGUCUGAUCUCGGAAGCUAUGCAUGGUCGAGCCUGAUUAGUAUUUGCAUGGGAGACUGCCUGGGAAUACCAGGUGUUGUAGGCU